UGAGUAGUAAAAGUUUUCAAGGCUCAGGAUCCAGAUUAAACAUACCAAACUGUUCGAUUGAGAGGUCACCAUCUCCAGGAAAGCUCAAGCCUUCUGAAUGUAGAUCACAACAUAAAUAUGUAAACCUGCCAACACCGCAUCUUACGAAGCCUGUUGAAAAGGAUUUAAAUAAAUAUGACUGGUAUAUUGGAGAAUUUGAUCGUCAGAAAGCAGAAGAGGCUUUGUUACAGGAGAACACCGAUGAGACAUUCUUGGUCAGAGAUUGUUCAACUAAAUCAAGUGCUGAACCAUAUGUUUUGGUCAUAUAUUACGGAAACAAGGUAUACAAUAUUAAAAUACGUUUUCUGGAAGACAGCCAGCAAUAUGCAUUGGGAACAGGGCUCAGAGGAGAUUAUAAGUUUGAUUCUGUGCAAGAAAUCAUUGACUUCUACACAUGUGUUCCCAUAACACUUAUUGAUGGAAAGGAUAAGUCUGGAAUCCAGAGAGAACAAUGUUACCUAACACAUCCUUUUAAGUUGAACAGAAGAUGCU